CCAAAGGUUUUCUUAAAAACUAUUUUCAAUAUUUUGUAAAUUUAGU
rfam:Tinamus guttatus contig31903, whole genome shotgun sequence.